UACAUGGGGUGCAAACGUUGCUCGGAAUUAUUGGGCGUAAAGCGCACGUAGGCGGAUCUUUAAGUCAGGGGUGAAAUCCCAAGGCUCAACCUUGGAACUGCCUUUGAUACUGGGGAUCUCGAGUCCGGAAGAGGUUGGUGGAACUGCGAGUGUAGAGGUGAAAUUCGUAGAUAUUCGCAAGAACACCAGUGGCGAAGGCGGCCAACUGGUCCGGUACUGACGCUGAGGUGCGAAAGCGUGGGGAGCAAACAGG
rnacentral:rRNA from 1 species